AGAGACAUCAGCCGCCACGGUAAUACGAGGGGGGCAAGCGUUGUUCGGAAUUAUUGGGCGUAAAGGGUGCGUAGGCGGUUUGGCAAGUUUGGUGUGAAAUCUUCGGGCUCAACUCGAAGUCUGCAUCGAAAACUGCCGGGCUUGAGUAUGGGAGAGGUGAGUGGAGUUUCCGGUGUAGCGGUGAAAUGCGUAGAUAUCGGAAGGAACACCUGUGGCGAAAGCGGCUCACUGGACCAUAACUGACGCUGAUGCACGAAAGCUAGGGGAGCAAACAGGAUUAGAUACCCCGGUAGUCCCUGUCUCUUAUAC
rnacentral:rRNA from 1 species